GAAGAUAGUAGCCAUUCUACCAGAAGAAACACUGGUGGGAAUCGACGGUGGAUUAGACACGUUUCAGUCCAGUUCAUGCUCUAAACAACAAGCAUGUGUUGACGAGGAAACCUCAAGCAUUUCAAUUGGCCACGAGUUGAACAUUGUCUGAUGUGCAGCUAGCACAAUACACGUUCUUCAUUGAACAAACAGAAACAACCCGGUUAAAAAGAAAAUUGAUGGAACAACAAAUUCAGACACAAAAGGCUGCGGAGCAGUACUUCAUUGAAAGCAAAAAAAACCUUGCCCAAAAUGUAUUAGAUAAUUUUUUAGA